GGUGGUAAUUUCGCAAUAACACCCAACCCAGCGAUCUCCCCGGCUCCUCGCCUCUCUCGAACGCCGAUUUCCCCUUCUCUCUCACCGACAACCGCCUAAGAACAGAUGCUGCCGGGCGCCGGCUUCCAUCUCCUCCUUUCGCGUUCGAGCGCGGACGCCGAUGCCGUUGGCUGCCGUCUCCUCCGCUCCUCCGCAUCCUAUGGCACCCUCCCCCUCCCCAUCCCUAGCGCCUCCACUCCUGCCACCUCGUCGCCAGAUCCGGCCGCCCCCGUGGUCAAGGGCGCCAGAUGCCGACGAGCUCCGCAGGGAGGACCGGGGGGAGGGUAAGGGGUUGUGUUGGCCUCGGUUCGGUGAUGCUGCUCCUCACCAACCAUAUCCUCAGCGCUACCGGGACUGUGCGAUCCGAUUGUCCGCCCCCUCGCCUUCCUAGGAUGGUUGCGGUGCCCCCAUGAGGCCCUGACCCACCGAGUUUCUUCCUCUGGUCAUAGACUCUCCACGGCCGAGUUCAUCAUCUACGUUUUCCCUUCCUCUUCCUGUUAAGGUCACUAGAAAAGGAAAGGCAUGCAGACAAUCCAUUGUGGCACAGGCUCACAGCUGAUCCUAGAUGAUCAAAAUUGAAGAAUAUUUGCAUGUGGCCAGUAACUCUCUUUUGUAUGCUUAUCUGAGGCUUAGGCCUGUCAGUAUGUAACAUUAUGUAAUUUGAAACUAUGUAAUCUCAGUACAUAAUUGAUCUGUACUUGUCGUGUUGUUUAGUCU